CUCUUAUAUUACUUCUAAGGAAGGAGGUAAAAUUCCAAUACAAUUGGCUGGAAUAUUCCCUACUCAACAAGUUUCACAGGGAUUGGAUCAGGAGAGUGAGAUUUCAUCACCAAAAGAGUUAGGAAGUAGGUCUUCUGGAGCAAGCAACAAGGAAGCAUGACCUUGUUUGAUAUGUUAAGACGUAUAUUAAGAAUUAUAUGUUAAGACGUAUUAUUGAAAAAUGUUACUUUGAUACUUUGUUUUUGGAUUAUGAUAUUUCAAUUAUGACUUGGAUUAUGACUUUUAGAUCAUGUAUGAAUUAAAAAUCA